AUGAACGCUGGCGGCGCGCCUAAUACAUGCCAGUCGAGCGAACGGACGAGAAGCUUGCUUCUCUGAUGUUAGCGGCGGACGGGUGAGUAACACGUGGAUAACCUACCUAUAAGACUGGGAUAACUUCGGGAAACCGGAGCUAAUACCGGAUAAUAUUUUGAACCGCAUGGUUCAAAAGUGAAAGACGGUCUUGCUGUCACUUAUAGAUGGAUCCGCGCUGCAUUAGCUAGUUGGUAAGGUAACGGCUUACCAAGGCAACGAUGCAUAGCCGACCUGAGAGGGUGAUCGGCCACACUGGAACUGAGACACGGUCCAGACUCCUACGGGAGGCAGCAGUAGGGAAUCUUCCGCAAUGGGCGAAAGCCUGACGGAGCAACGCCGCGUGAGUGAUGAAGGUCUUCGGAUCGUAAAACUCUGUUAUUAGGGAAGAACAUAUGUGUAAGUAACUGUGCACAUCUUGACGGUACCUAAUCAGAAAGCCACGGCUAACUACGUG
rnacentral:rRNA from 1 species